UACGUAGGGUGCAAGCGUUAAUCGGAAUUACUGGGCGUAAAGCGUGCGCAGGCGGUUUUGUAAGUUUGUCGUGAAAUCCCCGGGCUUAACCUGGGAAUUGCGAUGAAGACUGCAAGGCUAGAAUCUGGCAGAGGGGGGUAGAAUUCCACGUGUAGCAGUGAAAUGCGUAGAGAUGUGGAGGAACACCGAUGGCGAAGGCAGCCCCCUGGGUCGAUAUUGACGCUCAUGCACGAAAGCGAGGGGAGCAAACAGG
rnacentral:rRNA from 1 species